GGUGCUAUACAUGCAGUCGAGCGGACAGAUGGGAGCUUGCUCCCUGAUGUUAGCGGCGGACGGGUGAGUAACACGUGGGUAACCUGCCUGUAAGACUGGGAUAACUCCGGGAAACCGGGGCUAAUACCGGAUGGUUGUUUGAACCGCAUGGUUCAAACAUAAAAGGUGGCUUCGGCUACCACUUACAGAUGGACCCGCGGCGCAUUAGCUAGUUGGUGAGGUAACGGCUCACCAAGGCGACGAUGCGUAGCCGACCUGAGAGGGUGAUCGGCCACACUGGGACUGAGACACGGCCCAGACUCCUACGGGAGGCAGCAGUAGGGAAUCUUCCGCAAUGGACGAAAGUCUGACGGAGCAACGCCGCGUGAGUGAUGAAGGUUUUCGGAUCGUAAAGCUCUGUUGUUAGGGAAGAACAAGUACCGUUCGAAUAGGGCGGUACCUUGACGGUACCUAACCAGAAAGCCACGGCUAACUACGUGCCAGCAGCCGCGGUAAUACGUAGGUGGCAAGCGUUGUCCGGAAUUAUUGGGCGUAAAGGGCUCGCAGGCGGUUUCUUAAGUCUGAUGUGAAAGCCCCCGGCUCAACCGGGGAGGGUCAUUGGAAACUGGGGAACUUGAGUGCAGAAGAGGAGAGUGGAAUUCCACGUGUAGCGGUGAAAUGCGUAGAGAUGUGGAGGAACACCAGUGGCGAAGGCGACUCUCUGGUCUGUAACUGACGCUGAGGAGCGAAAGCGUGGGGAGCGAACAGGAUUAGAUACCCUGGUAGUCCACGCCGUAAACGAUGAGUGCUAAGUGUUAUGGGGUUUCCGCCCCUUAGUGCUGCAGCUAACGCAUUAAGCACUCCGCCUGGGGAGUACGGUCGCAAGACUGAAACUCAAGGGAUUUGACGGGGGCCCGCACAAGCGGUGGAGCAUGUGGUUUAUUUCGAAGCACGCGAAGAAUCCUUACCAGGUCUUGACAUCCUUCUGACAUCCUAGAGAUAGGACGUCCCCUUCCGGGGC
rnacentral:rRNA from 1 species